GCGGACCCCCGCCCUCCACAGUCCGCGGUGUCUGCCGCCCUCCGUCUUCUCCCACCUGCGCAGGCGGGUGGGGGGACGCCGCGCGCCCCAGCCAGGUGUCUCCGCCCUUGGCCCCGCUCCAGCCCGGCUGAGCGGCCUGGAGCGCCCGGGCCGAAGGCGCCUCGAAGGUGCAUUUCCGGGGAGCGCGGCCCAGGCGGCAGCCCCGAGCCCCCGAGCCCCUCGGCCCAGCAGGGUGUUGGCGCCCCGCACGCCUCCGGGGCUCGCCUUCCCUCCAGGCUCCGCGAACCCCCCGCUGUGCUCGCCCGGCCCGGGCCGCGGCUCCCUCUCCGCCCGUCGGAGACGCGAGGGCAGGGCCCCUCCAGCCACAUCCCCGCGCCCCAUCUCGGGGCAGGCGACGGGACCUCGCCUCGCGCCCCGCACCCCGCGCCCCGCGCCCCGCGCCCCACCCCGGCUUCUCCCGGCGGCGACUCUCCGUGCAGUUUCGGUUUGUGUCUAGGCCGGGUUCGCGCUCCUCUGUCAUUUCUGUGGGCUUCCCAGCCCCUGCCUGCCUCCACGUCCUCGGGUCCCAGGUUUCCGCUUCCAGCCUCUCCAGGCCGCUGGUCCUCGGCCCCCGCGGCCGCAGUGCCCGGGGCGUCCCCGGCCUCCCCGCCUCCCGCCUCCUCUCGCCCGGCCCAGCUCCCAAGGUCGCUCCCGGGCUCCGAGGGGGGCGGGCGCCUUCCCACCUUCCUGCCCGCCCGCCCCCCCCCCCCCCGCCCCGGGCGAGGUACCAGCGCUGACCUUGAGGCGGCCAGGCUGCCCCCCCACCGUGUUCUCCUGCCACCCUUGCCUCUCCUUGACUCGAUGGCUCUCGAGUCGUGGCCACUGGUGGCAGGGGCGUGGGGGCGGCGCCUUCCCCUGGCGGCAACCCGCAGGGGCUUGCAGUCUUGGCUGCGCACGCCGCGGCUGCGAGCGGCCGGGCCUGGGUCAACGCCGGGCGGAGGCGGGGUGGACCUGCGGGCCCGGAGAUCAGACUUUAUUUGUGUUGCUUCAACUUGCCCUGCACGGUUAGACCCGGCGCGCCGGCUCACACGCACCGCGGGGAGUCCGCACCCUCGCCGGCUCCGCUCGCCGGCCCGACCUGCCGGCUCAGCGCCCCGCGCGCCCUUGGCCUCCGCAGAGGCCCCGGCGCCACAGGGCUCGGCGUCCGCCUCCUCCGCGCGCACUCGGGGCUCACCUGGCCCCAGAAGGGCGGCCAGCUGA
rnacentral:lncRNA from 1 species